GAUGAACGCUGGCGGCGUGCCUAAUACAUGCAAGUCGAGCGAACAGACGAGGAGCUUGCUCCUCUGACGUUAGCGGCGGACGGGUGAGUAACACGUGGAUGACCUACCUAUAAGACUGGGAUAACUUCGGGAAACCGGAGCUAAUACCGGAUAAUAUAUUGAACCGCAUGGUUCAAUAGUGAAAGACGGUUUUGCUGUCACUUAUAGAUGGAUCCGCGCCGCAUUAGCUAGUUGGUAAGGUAACGGCUUACCAAGGCGACGAUGCGUAGCCGACCGGAGAGGGUGAUCGGCCACACUGGAACUGAGACACGGUCCAGACUCCUACGGGAGGCAGCAGUAGGGAAUCUUCCGCAAUGGGCGAAAGCCUGCCGGAGCAACGCCGCGUGAGUGAUGAAGGUCUUCGGAUCGUAAAACUCUGUUAUUAGGGAAGAACAAAUGUGUAAGUAACCAUGUACGUCUUGACGGUACCUAAUCAGAAAGCCACGGCUAACUACGUGCUAGCCGCCGCCGUAA
rnacentral:rRNA from 1 species